GAUGAACGCUGGCGGCGUGCCUAAUACAUGCAAGUCGAGCGAACGGACGAGAAGCUUGCUUCUCUGAUGUUAGCGGCGGACGGGUGAGUAACACGUGGAUAACCUACCUAUAAGACUGGGAUAACUUCGGGAAACCGGAGCUAAUACCGGAUAAUAUCUUGAACCGCAUGGUUCAAAAGUGAAAGACGGUCUUGCUGUCACUUAUAGAUGGAUCCGCGCUGCUUUAGCUAGUUGGUAAUGUAACGGCUUACCAAGGCUACGAUGCAUAGCCGACCUGAGGGGGGAUAGGCGACACGGGAAGUGAGCCACGGUCCUGACUCCUACGGGAGGCAGCAGUAGGGAAUCUGCCGCAGAGGGCGAAAGCCUGACGGAGUAGCGCCGCGUGAGUGAUGAAGGUCUUCGGAUCGUAAAACUCUGUUAUUAGGGAAGAACAUAUGUGGAAGUAACUGUGCACAUCUUGACGGUACCUAAUCAGAAAGCCACGGCUAACUACGUG
rnacentral:rRNA from 1 species